GACGAACGCUGGCGGCGUGCUUAACACAUGCAAGUCGAACGGAAAGGCCCUGCUUUUGUGGGGUGCUCGAGUGGCGAACGGGUGAGUAACACGUGAGUAACCUGCCCUUGACUUUGGGAUAACUUCAGGAAACUGGGGCUAAUACCGGAUAGGAGCUCCUGCUGCAUGGUGGGGGUUGGAAAGUUUCGGCGGUUGGGGAUGGACUCGCGGUUUAUCAGCUUGUUGGUGGGGUAGUGGCUUACCAAGGCUUUGACGGGUAGCCGGCCUGAGAGGGUGACCGGCCACAUUGGGACUGAGAUACGGCGCAGACUCCUACGGGAGGCAGCAGUGGGGAAUAUUGCACAAUGGGCGGAAGCCUGAUGCAGCAACGCCGCGUGCGGGAUGACGGCCUUCGGGUUGUAAACCGCUUUCGCCUGUGACGAAGCGUGAGUGACGGUAAUGGGUAAAGAAGCACCGGCUAACUACGUG
rnacentral:rRNA from 1 species